rnacentral:rRNA from 1 species
UACGAAGGGGGCUAGCGUUGUUCGGAAUUACUGGGCGUAAAGCGCGCGCAGGCGGCUAUCCAAGUCAGUGGUGAAAGCCCGGAGCUCAACUCCGGAACUGCCAUUGAAACUGUUUAGCUUGAGGAUGAGAGAGGUGAGUGGAAUUCCCAGUGUAGAGGUGAAAAUUCGUAGAUAUUGGGAAGAACACCGGUGGCGAAGGCGGCUCACUGGCUCAUUACUGACGCUCAGGCGCGAUAGCGUGGGGAUCAAACAGG